UUUAAGGGCUUGUUUGGUUCAGAAAUUUUAGACUUUGGAAUCCGAAUGAGAUUCAUUGAUUCCAAUAGUUGUUGUUUGUUUUAUAGAAAUUGGAUUCUAAUUCCCAUUCAACUACGUAAUGGGAAUGGUCCAAUCUAUUUAGCCUAAUCCGGCUUUAAAUUCUGAAUUGGCUCAUUCUAGAGUAAACCACUCUAAACCCUCUCUCACAAACACCCCCCCUCCUCUCUCUCUCUUUACUCCUCCCUUAACCAAAAACCCUGUCUCAGAAUCCUAGGUGUCCCAAUUGUUCAUUUCGAUUUUCAUUCCAAUAAUGAACAAAAUAGUUUUGGAUAUUUCAUUAUUCUAUUUUUCAUUCCAAUACAAUUCAAUUCCAUUUCUCAUUCUCAUGCCAAUCAUGAAACAAACAUACCUUAAGUGCCCAA
rnacentral:lncRNA from 1 species